CAACCAGCCCGCCCUGUUCAGCCACGCCCCUUAGCAACCAGCCCGCCCUGUUCAGCCACGCCCCUUAGCAACCAGCCCACCCUGUUCCGGUCACGCCCCUUAGCAAUUAACCCGCCCUGUUCCGGCCACGCCCCUUAGCAACCAGCCCGCCCUGUUCCGGCCACGCCCCUUAGCAACCAGCCGCCCUGUUCCGGUCACGCCCCUUAGCAACCAGCCGCCCUGUUCGCUGCCCCAUGAGGGCGCAGGGACUCGCCCGCCCGCCACAUGUCCCGGCACCGAGGCUGGGCCCGGGAGGAAGGUCUUGCGUCUUGAGAACAGUACAAACUGCAGAGUUCAGAGCUCAUUUUGAACCUUUCCAGAACUCUCAUAUGUGGUCAACCAGAAGGAAUUUGAUUUGUGUAGCAGCCUUCUUAUCCUGUUGGAAACCUUUUCAAAGAAACAUGCACAACACUUCCUGCAGAACCUUACCAGAUUCUGGUGCUGAUGGAAAGGAGGCAAGAAAGCUGGAUUAAAAUUCACCCUGUGCUCUCAGGCUCUGAGAUUCCCUGUGUA